GAUUCAACUCCCUUCCCUCUAGUGUGUCCCCACCCUGGGUCCCCACCUUCCAGACACCGAGUUCCCCAUCUCCUCUCCGUCCUACCUCCUCCACCAUGUCUUGGAGACUUCCCGAGCCCUAAUUGCCCCAUCCUGCUCCCUCGUGUUCGCCUCCCACCCCCAACACCUAUUCACCCCUUCACCCAGGGCCAAGAAGAGUGGGCCUCCCUUUCCCAAUCCUCCCCGGCAGCUCUCCCUCCUAGGAGCUGGUGUUUUCCUCUGCAGGGCCCUCUGGAGGGCCCAGGAGACCCUGCUUCCCUGCCAACCCCGGCUGGCUUCGUUGAGCUUUCCGGAAUCAUCAACACAGUGCGACAGAUCUGCCCCCAUGCCCCUGCACGCCCAGGGCCCAGACGGCUGACCGCAGAGCCGGAUCCCGGAUCCCGCGGGCCGACCCCAGUUCUGUGUUCUCCCUCCUCCCUGGGCUGGUCCCGCUGCCUGGAAAGGGUUAACUCGACUGCGAGGAAUUAA
rnacentral:lncRNA from 1 species